rnacentral:lncRNA from 1 species
UUCCAGUUCCAGACUAUAAAAGCUGAUUUCUAGUCUGGAGUUAUACACUCUGUAUUCAAGGAAGCAGUUUAGAGGUGUAGCCUACAUACAGAAAACAUCUGUGCAUAUUCUUCUACCUUCCAAGUUGGAAAACAUGGAGGAACCUGUAGUUAAAGAAAACAAAAUGGAGAGAAGUCACCCUAAUGGGAAGCUAUUCUGAACCAGGACAUGAAAAUGGAGGAGUUCAAUAAUAAUUGAGGCCAGUUCAAUCCUCCACUACCAGGAUAUCACCAAGACAAAAAUUCUUGGAAUACCACACUCAUCUCCAUACAUCAUCAUAUCAUGGUAGAAAGGUAUUUCAAUAAGACUAAUUGAUAUUAAGUUUAGUUUAGUUUUUAUGUAUAUUAAAAAAACAUACAAAAAUGUAUAGGCCCAUUACAGAGAGAGGUAUAAAUGGAAACUGUUUGCGUUUUAGAUGGGAUAAGUUUGAAAUUAUUGAUCCUAUAUUGAUAUUUCAAAGCUUGAAACCAAUUGUACUUGAUAUAUGUUUAAGAGAAGCUGAAAAAUUUAAUUAUAAUAUAAAAUGGUAUGUUGCUAUCAAAUUAAAGCUAAAGAAAUUAGUUGCAGAUCAUGAAAUGGAUACUACACCAACAUUUCAUGGGAUAGCACGAACAAUUCUACAAAUUCAAGAUAA